rnacentral:lncRNA from 1 species
UUUGUUUUUAUCUUUCAGGAAAUAGCUUUCAGAAGUUAAAUUAAGUCCUAAUUAGAAAUUUGGAAAAAUAUUUUAGUUUAUUUGGUACAUGAAAGUUAAAUAUUUAUAGAUAAGGAUAACUCACUGAAACUUGCUAUAAACUCACGAAAAAAUGAAUAUUAAUUCUUAAAAGAGAAAAAUAAUAUAUGUCAAAUUAGUUAAUUUCUUUUCCCCAUUGCCUAAUAUCCAACUAUCCGAACCCUUUCAAAUUUGCAGAGCAGCAAUUAGAUAAUAACAUUAAAAACUCAGCCCAAAAAUAUGCCCAAUAACAUUAUAGGGUUGAGAACUUAGAAUCGUGACUGUCUUAGGCUGUGUUCACUUGGAUGGAAUGGAAUGAGGGGAGAAUGGAAUGAAAAACUAUAUAGAAUUUUUAUGGAGAAAGAAGAAAGUAUGAGCUAAUAGUGACUAAAUAUGAAUGAGUUCAAUUUAUUUGUGUUAAAGAUUGUAAAGAAAUAUGAUGUAGAGAUGGAAUGAGCAUUCCUUCCAAAACAUGUGGGAUAGAAUUCUAGUUAAAAUAGUAUGAAUGGAAUGAUUGAAGGAAUGAAAAUUGUAUACAUUUUUUUUUAUCAACACUCUUUUUAAGUACAAAAUUCAUUCCAUUCUCCCUCCAUUUCAUUCACUCCAAGUGAACACAACCUUAGGGUUUUAGGUGUGUCAUUCACUCGGAGAAGGAGACAUGGCAAACAACCGGAGCUCUUUCGAGAAAGUUAAGAGCGUAUUUCAUGGAAAAUGGGGCGAAUUAAGGGCUUUUUAUGGCAGUGAGCGGGUUAAGAAGUUGCGGACUUAUGCUGGGUUGUGUGGCGGGAGUUUCGUCGUUAUCGGUGGUGCUUGGAGUACCGUGGACAAGCUUAAGCACUGGAUUGGCCAUCCAUCGAUCGAUAACAAGGUCGAUGAUAGCGAUAAGAAGGUCGAUGAUAUUUUGCUUGGCAGGCGCGACCUUUCGCAUCAGAUUUCUGCUUAUCUUGAGGCUGAAGAUGCGGCAGCGAGGACAGCGGAUGCGGCAGCGAGGAUGGCGGCGGCAAACUUUAGAAAAGAUUAGUACGGCCUUCAAGAAGCUUCUGUAGCUGCAGCUACAGAAAGAUCAGCUCAAAACUUGCCAGUUUAAUACCCCAAGGAUGGUACCUUGUUAAAUAAUUUGUGAAAUGUAACUCUAUUACUAUUGUGUUAUGUCAAUUAUGAAUGAUAUUAUCCCUGAGUUGUUAUUAUUUUAUUUUAUUUUAUUUUGCUUAAAAAAAAAACCUUUCAAAUUUUUUAUAUAUGUCAAAUUAGUUAAUUUCUUUCCAGUCAACAAACAUUUAGCAAUAAUGUUCUAAAACAUUCC